rnacentral:rRNA from 1 species
GUUCAGAACGUCGUGAGACAGUUCGGUCUCUAUCUAUCGUGGGCGCAGGAGAUUUGCGUGGUGCCGUCACUAGUACGAGAGGACCGUGAUGGACAGACCUCCGGUUUACCAGUUGUGCCGCCAGGUGCACCGCUGGGUAUCUGAGUCUGGAUUGGAUAAGCGCUGAAAGCAUCUAAGUGCGAAGCCAGCCGCAAGAUUAGAUUUCCACAGAGGGUCGUCGCAGACUACGACGUUGAUAGGAGGCAGGUGUAAAGACGGUGACGUCAAAGCCGAGCCUUACUAAUAGCCCGAAAGUUUCGCACAU